GCCGGAGCUGCCAAGGGCUGGCGCACCGGCAGCGCUGCGCUCAGGGAUCCGGCUGAGCCGAGCCGGCGGCGAUCAAUACGGGAGGAAAGUGCGGCGGCGGCUGCGCUCGGUGCCAGGCAGCAUCUGGGGUCUCCUAUAAUUGACUACAUCAUGAUUCAGUUGAAGAAUCUAGACUUUCUGCGUUUGGUAUAUACUCUGAUCGACACAGCAAUGAUUAUGAAAUGCAAGUAAUCCUGUGCUGUCAAGAUGCGUGUGAUGAAAUUUUUUGCACGUGGAGGAUGCUUGGCCUUGGGGGAGGAGGAAAUCUAAUCUAGCAUUCAGAAGAACAGUCUCUGCGUCCUGAUAUUUAGAAAGAAUGCAAGUAAAGAAAUACUCCCCAACUGAAACACCCUUAAUCCCAGCACUCGGGAGGCAGAGCUGAUCUCCACUAUGAUUUAACCUACUUGAAGUUUCUCUGUAAUUCCAAAAUCAAUGCUUGUGGCACUUUUAUAGUCAUUUGCACAUGCCUGCAGAGUGGUGAAGAGUCGGAGUCCCAUGUCACGAAUGUUUUCCAUUGCACAGGUCAAGGUUCUGCCUGCGUGUUUGAGCUUCCAUACUAGUCAAAUCCCCUAGAAAGACUGAGGACGAUGUAAGCAAGAGAAAGCAUCUUGGAGGAAAUCACUUCGGACAGAAGAAGAGCAAUAAGGAAAACUGAAGAAGAUUUAAAUGUGGACAGUAAGGAUAUAAUCAAAGGACAGAUUAUCCUUUUGGAAAACUGAGAGAUGGGGAAGAAGAGAGAAAGCAGUAACCAAUGGGAGGCAAUGUGUACAGUGGGUAAACACAGGAGUUUGCUGCUUGGGGUUGCAACCCAGCUUAUAAGCUAUGUGAUUAUGGGCAAGUUAUUGGAUGUGCCUGCAGCAGAGCAGGGCAGAGAGCAAGUCCAGGCCCCAAGGGAAGUAAUAAGACUUGAACUGGGAAACACUUCAGAUUUGCAAUGAAUAAAGUAUAACAAGAGCAGAAACCACAGGAAUUCUGCCAGAUAUGUCAA